rnacentral:lncRNA from 1 species
CAAAACUAAUGUAUAAGAUGAACAUUUUUUGUUUCCUUUUUGCUGGGGUCCACAAAGGAAAAUGUCACUUUGUUUGGAUUGUAUUUAUACACACAAACUCAACAUAGACAAUGCAGUGAAUGAUUACUCCACUUAGGAGGAGUUAACUUAAGAGACUAUAACAUAAACACAGUGAAACCUACUUUCAUUAUAUACCCUUAACAUCCCAUAAUUGUGUUAACAAGUUCUUUCUGAAUUCUUUCUAAGUUUUAGUUUCCCAAGGUCCAUAGACAUGAUUUGUGAUCUUUUGGAAGUUUUCAGAUAUUUGUAUGUCUGUUUAUAUUCCUUUCUCCCUUGUAGAAUUUUCUUUUCUUGUAUUGUCUAGUAUUUUUCCUUAAAGUGAUCACUUUUAGUUACAUUCAAUUUACUGCUCUCCCAGAGCAUUCUUUAUAACUGCAGGUUAAGUUUUUAGGUUACACCUCAAACUUUACAUAGUUUCUAUCCUUCCUGAUGGAAAUCACCCCAUUAGUUAGGAAAACCACAGUAUUUCUAUAUCCUUUAUUACCUUAUUGUCCUCUGAUGUCUCCUAACAUAACCACACUUUUAUAUAUGAAAAUUAGUUACUUCCUCCAAACUAAGACAAAAAAGAUCUUUAUUGUCUGCAGUCUCUGUCCCUGUCACCAAGGGAAUUAUGAUAGAGUGCUUAAACACUGCAAUUCAUUCAGACUUUUGUUUCCUAGAAGCAUUACCCUCCCAUUAGUCUGAAAUUACUUGAAAGUAAUGGCCAUAUUUAUUUUGCUCAUCACCAAUUUAUAGGUAGUACCAUACAGAGAAUAUACUCAAUAAAUACUUAUGAAUGAGUAAUUACUCUUGACCUUCACAUUGCAUAUGGAGUUAGUGUUGUAACUACUACUCUAGUUGUAUCCUCACAUUUUAUCAUAAUCAUCCUCUUCCAGAAAUGAUAUAUUCAAGAAAGACUUUUGGUAAUUAUUAAUACAAAACAUAAAAUAGAAUUUGAACAGAUAAAUUUCUUUUCCCUCACACUUUGAAAUGGAAGAGAAAGAAAUUACCAUAAAAAUAAACAUAACUUUGACAGAUUCUAUUAUAGCAAUCUAAAAAUAUUAUUUUCUAAUAUAUUUAUAUCAAAAUCAUAGGGAAGCACCCAAAUAUAUAGUACUAAUUAAGUAAACUAAAAUGAAAUUCAC